rnacentral:rRNA from 1 species
GACGAACGCUGGCGGCGUGCCUAAUACAUGCAAGUCGAGCGCUGAAGGUUGGUACUUGUACCUACUGGCUGAGCAGCGAACGGGUGAGUAACGCGUGGGUAACCUGCCUUUGAGCGGGGGACAACAUUUGGAAACGAAUGCUAAUACCGCAUAAAAACUUUAAACACAAGUUUUAAGUUUGAAAGAUGCAAUUGCAUCACUCAAAGAUGAUCCCGCGUUGUAUUAGCUAGUUGGUGAGGUAAAGGCCUAACAAGGCGAUGAUACAUAGCCGACCUGAGAGGGGGAUCGGCCACAAUGGGAAUGGGACACGGCCCAAACUCCUACGGGGGGGAGCAGUAGGGAAACUUCGGCAAAGGACGAAAGUCUGACCGAGCAACGCCGCGUGAGUGAAGAAGGGUUUCGGAUCGUAAAACUCUGUUGGUAGGGAAGAACGUUGGUGGGAGUGGAAAGCUCAUCAAGUGACGGUAACUACCCAGAAAGGGACGGCUAACUACGUG